rnacentral:rRNA from 1 species
AACGAACGCUGGCGGCAUGCCUAACACAUGCAAGUCGAACGAGACCUUCGGGUCUGGUGGCGCACUGGUGCGUAACGCGUUGGAACCUGCCCUUGGAUUCGGAUUAACGCCCCGAAAGGGGUGCGAAUACGGGAUAUUGUCUUCGGUCCAAAGAUUUAUGGCCUUUGGAUGGGCUCGCGUUGUAUUAGCUUGAUGUUAGGGUAAAACCCUACCAAGGCGACGAGCCAUAGCUGGUCAGAGAGGAUGAUCACCCACACUGGGACUGAGAAACGGCCCAGAAUACUACGGGAGGCAGCAGUGGGGAAUAUUGCAAAACGGCGGAAGGCAUGAUGCAGCACUGACGCGUGAGUGAUGAAGGCCUUAGGGUAGUAAAGCAAUUUUACCCGGGAUGAUAAUGACAGUACCGGGAGAAUAAGCUCCGGCUAACUCCGUG